rnacentral:tRNA from 1 species
AACAACCAGCAAGACGGUGUUUCAUUUUCCAACUUUGUGGCCCGGCAGAUGCUGCGAGACGAGG